rnacentral:rRNA from 1 species
AGAUUCAUCGUCAGCGCAUUUUGUAUAUGUAUAAGUUGUGAUACGGGUUACUCUUGUAGUAUUGCCUGUACAUUCUUUUACAUUUUGUUGCAAGAUGUUGUCGGCGUGCACUUCUCCCCUAGUAGGACGUCGCGACCCGUUGGGUGUCGGUCUACGGCCCAAAUGGUAGUCUUUAAUGUUUCAAUACGUUAAAGACCUUUGGUGUUUUCUGACCGACUGCUCGGCGGUACUCAUACGGUAUUAAGCCGCAUAUUAAUAUGCGUCCAUACCCGUCGCAAGCGAGGUUAGUUUUUGGUAGUACGGACCUAGCGCCGUCGCUGAAACUGACCAGCUGUUGGCCGUACGGUGUUCUAGGACUGGCUAAAGAUAUUACCGGUCGGCGAUGCUACUGCUUUGGGUACUUUCAGGACCCGUCUUGAAACACGGACCAAGGAGUCUAACAUGUGCGCGAGUCAUUGGGGAUUUUUUAAAAAAUUAAACCUAAAGGCGUAAUGAAAGUAAAGGUUGUCCUUGCGUCAACCGAGGGAGGAU